AAUCAACGCUGGCGGCGUGCCUAACACAUGCAAGUCGCACGAGAAAGGGGAGCAAUCCCUGAGUAAAGUGGCGCACGGGUGAGUAACACGUGAAUCAUCUACCUCCGAGUGGGAAUAACUGAGAGAAAUCUUAGCUAAUACCGCAUAACACUUACGAGUCAAAGCAGCAAUGCGCUUGGAGAGGAGUUCGCGGCCGAUUAGUUAGUUGGCGGGGUAAUGGCCCACCAAGACGAUGAUCGGUAUCCGGCCUGAGAGGGCGCACGGACACACUGGAACUGAAACACGGUCCAGACUCCUACGGGAGGCAGCAGUGGGGAAUUUUGCGCAAUGGGGGAAACCCUGACGCAGCAACGCCGCGUGGAGGAUGAAGUAUCUUGGUACGUAAACUC
rnacentral:rRNA from 1 species